rnacentral:tRNA from 1 species
CGGGGCGUAGCGCAGUCCGGUAGCGCACCGCGUUUGGGACGCGGGGGCCGGCGGUUCGAGUCCGCCCGCCCCGACCA